CAGCCCUAUAUACAGCUCAGCCCUAUAUACAGCUCAGCUCUAUAGGAAGCCAGGCACCUGAUCUGCAGAAGAAACCAACAGACGUGAGGAUGGGACCUGCAAUCCUGAGCGCCCUCUGUCUGUGGAGCUGUGUACUGAUAGUGACUUCACAAGACCAAGUACAAGUGGGGAGAAUCACAAAUUACAUAGAACAAAACAUCUUCAACGGUGUGCAGGACAGUAUGCCUAUUUUGUGAAGUUUACUGCUCAAGAAUGCAACAAAGCUUUACAGAAAGGGGAUUUCGAUGAGGGCGCUGAAAAACGAGAAAUCUGCCGGGAUCCCCGAUAAAGUGCUCAAGAAAGAAAUCUACAUUGGAGAUCGAAUGGUGGCCGCAUCUUACAAAAAAAGAGAAAAAAUUUGAUGUUCAUGCAGAGUCCCGCCUCCUAAACCCUCCCCUGAUACUAAAAAAUCCCCCCA